rnacentral:rRNA from 1 species
GUAUGGAGCAAGCGUUAUCCGGAUUUACUGGGUGUAAAGGGAGCGUAGGCGGCCAGACAAGUCUGAUGUGAAAGGCUGGGGCUCAACCCCAGGACUGCAUUGGAAACUGUGAGGCUAGAGUGUCGGAGAGGCAGGCGGAAUUCCUAGUGUAGCGGUGAAAUGCGUAGAUAUUAGGAGGAACACCAGUGGCGAAGGCGGCCUGCUGGACGAUGACUGACGCUGAGGCUCGAAAGCGUGGGGAGCA